UGCCGGCCGGCGCGCUGUACCGCGUGCGCGCCACCUACCGCUACACGCGCGAGGACAGCGACGAGCUCUCCUUCGAGGUGGGCGACGUCAUCCGCGUCGUCGAGUACGACGACCCCGACGAGCAGGAGGAGGGCUGGCUAAUGGGAAUAAAGGAAUCGACCAAUGAGAAGGGAAUGUUCCCAGCGAACUUCACGCGGCCUAUUUGAGCAACACAGCCUCUGACGUCGCUAUACUAGUUCUAUAGCGCGGACGCUCUUUGUAUAAACACGAGCAAACCCUCAACUCGAUCAUAUGGGGCGAAACGCGCAAAGUGUUCUGAAUAUUCCAAAAUCCUCAUCCUCAGUUCAUUUCGUUUUCAAUAAUCUUCACAACGUUCAAGACACUUUGCGCACUGUUUAAUAAUUUUAGUAUAGUCGUUGAGCGUUGUUAGAUAUAUAUUAUUUAUUAUAUGUUGUAUCACAACGAAUCUUAACCCCCCCACUAUCAAUUUAUCCAAUCUUUUCAUGUGACAGCGCUACGUACCACAGAGUAUUAACAAUGUAUUAAUUUGGUGUUGCCAUUGUUUAUUGCAAUUUUGUCUCGGGAUGUGCUUCUGUUUUAUAAAAUUACUAGUAAACCACAUAUCUUGGGCGUUAGUAAUCUUUAUGUAUUGUAUAUUUUUGAUGAAUUUUAUAAAGUAUUGUAUUGUAAAAAAAAAUAUCUAAAAUUGCUCAUUGUUAAACUACAUAUACUAAAGGAAAGUGACCUUAAAUUUAUGUCAUAUAUAUAAAGAUAAAUAUCAUAUUCUCUGAAAUCUAAUUCUUCCAAAAAUCUAAAUUCGAUAUAUUUAUUCCCAAUAGAAGAAUAGUAUUUAAUUAAAUUAGUUAAUUAUCCUAUAUUGAAAUUAAAAUUUGAAAUAUUAUGAAAAGAGAUUAUUUGUUUUCUUAUGAUUUAUGUCAUUUUUUUUUAAAUAAUAUGAUUCUGAUUGCAUUUUAUUCACUUGAUAACGUUGUCGGGUUGCAUUUGAACUUGUUUGACUGUUUGUUUGUAUAAUAUAUAAUCUAUCCAGUAUUUAUUCCUUAACAUUCUACUGUAGAUUAUUCAUUAUCUGUGUAUGACAUACACCUUUUUUUUUCGAACAAAUUUUACUAUUUCUUUUUCAAAUUCAUAUUUUUUCCUGAACCAUGUUUAGUUCUAGUGUACAUAAAUAGUUUUUAGUUGUUGACCUUUUAUUGUUGAAACAAUUAUUUUAUCAUAGCAAGUAAUUUAAUCGAAUAUAUAUUUUAUCUGUAAACUUGCUUUUUUUUAAGUAGACAUUAUUAAUUUUACUUAUUGUUUUUUUUAACCUUUAGUGAACUGAUUACUAAUAUUUAUUAGACAUGUUCUUAUGAAUAACGAAAUAUAGAUGUUUUUCAACUAUUUAAAUUUUAUUCUGAUUUAUUAUACAAAUUAAUAUGAAACAUAAAAAGUGUAGAGAAUAAAAAUAAAAACCUAUAAAAAUUAUUAUUUAAUGGAAAAAUAUCUUGUAUAAAUUGACCAAAUCAUGUUACUGUACUCAAACAAAAUAAAUAACAAAAAAAUGUGUCAAAAAUGGUGCUUCGGGUAUAUACAUAAUCAUCUUCACAUAUACCAUUGUAGAAAUAAGAAAAAAACCUUGGGAUUAUUUUAUAAAUAACUAAAUAUAAUCGAAGUCUCCCGUUUCUAAUAUAAUUGUAUACUUUUUAAAGGUACGCAGUGUAACAGUUAGUGAAAGUUCUUUAAAAAGCAAUAAUGAAGUCAAAAGCCAUAAGAUAUUUUUCUUAGACUACCUUCAAUCUGCCUUCGAGGAAAAUCAUUUGACUGAUGUUAUUAUAGGAAUUGAGAGUGUAAAUUCUAUGUAGUCUAAGUGCGACGUUUGUGUGGCUUUUGUCAUCAGCAGUGCCAUGGAAGGUCCAUAAUAGAUGAUAAUUUAUAAGUUUGUUAAGAUUUGUACAGUUUUUACAACUGCAAAUAAAAUGUUUCUCACAUAAA